rnacentral:rRNA from 1 species
AUUGAACGCUGGCGGAAUGCUUUACACAUGCAAGUCGAACGGCAGCACGGGGCAACCUGGUGGCGAGUGGCGAACGGGUGAGUAAUACAUCGGAACGUGCCCAAUCGUGGGGGGAUAACGUAGCGAAAGUUACGCUAAUACCGCAUACGAUCUACGGAUGAAAGCGGGGGAUCGCAAGACCUCGCGCGAAUGGAGCGGCCGAUGUCAGAUUAGGUAGUUGGUGGGGUAAAGGCUCACCAAGCCAACGAUCUGUAGCUGGUCUGAGAGGACGACCAGCCACACUGGAACUGAGACACGGUCCAGACUCCUACGGGAGGCAGCAGUGGGGAAUUUUGGACAAUGGGCGCAAGCCUGAUCCAGCCAUUCCGCGUGCAGGAUGAAGGCCUCGGUUGUAACUAGCUUUUGUACGGUAACGAAACGGUAC